UAAGGGCGCACGGUGGAUGCCUUGGCACUAGAAGCCGAUGAAGGACGUUACUAACGACGAUAUGCUUUGGGGAGCUGUAAGUAAGCUUUGAUCCAGAGAUUUCCGAAUGGGGAAACCCAGCAUGAGUUAUGUCAUGUUAUCGAUAUGUGAAUACAUAGCAUAUCAGAAGGCACACCCGGAGAACUGAAACAUCUUAGUACCCGGAGGAAGAGAAAGAAAAUUCGAUUCCCUUAGUAGCGGCGAGCGAAACGGGAAGAGCCCAAACCAACAAGCUUGCUUGUUGGGGUUGUAGGACACUCUAUACGGAGUUACAAAGGACGACAUUAGACGAAUCAUCUGGAAAGAUGAAUCAAAGAAGGUAAUAAUCCUGUAGUCGAAAAUGUUGUCUCUCUUGAGUGGAUCCUGAGUACGACGGAGCACGUGAAAUUCCGUCGGAAUCUGGGAGGACCAUCUCCUAAGGCUAAAUACUCUCUAGUGACCGAUAGUGAACCAGUACCGUGAGGGAAAGGUGAAAAGCACCCCG
rnacentral:rRNA from 1 species